rnacentral:tRNA from 1 species
UCGGUGGCCUAAUGGUAGAGUAUCGGCAUUGGGAUCGCGAAGCCCGGGUUCGAAUCCCGC